CCCCCUGCGACCCAGUUCCAGAUUACCAAAGCCUCAUGCUGUCCAGUAGACUUGGGUUGCGUGCACAUCCUUUGGAACACAGCAAAGGCGUAACCCGGGAUGCUCGGUUGGGCCUUGUGUCGUUACAUCGUUGGACCAAGAUCCAUGUGGGAUUCGAACUCACAAUGCUGUCAUGAGGCAGGUAGGGAGCAUGUUUGACUUCCACUCAUUUUCUCCAUGCUGUAGCAACUUGCUCCUCCCUCACCCUUCACCACGGCUAUCUCUUCUCUGCCUUCUCGCACUCUGCCAGUAUAACGCUCUUCCCUCCCUCGCCCUGCACCACGGCCCUCUCUCCUCCCCCUCCUCCCCCUCCACAUGUUAGGCUCUGCCAGUAUUAGGCUCUUCCCUCCCUCACCCUCCACCACGGCUAUCUCUUCCUGAGGAAACGCACCUCGCCAAGAGAGCUAGAGCGAGACACGCAAGGGGUAAAGGCAAAGUGAGGGUUAGGCACAUGUCCUACACAGUAUAUACACAACAUCACAGCAAGCGACAGUACUGUCUCCGCUCUUGCUCUGUAAAAAUGCCGAAAGCAGGCCAGAUGCCGUGCGCGCCUGAGCCCCCCCUACAGACGCCGUGCUCGCCUGACAGACUCCGUGUACGCCUGAGCCGCCCCAAUAUUCUAGGCCUGUGCGAACUUUGGGUAGGUGACAGUCGGGUGACCACGAGACCUGAGAGCUGUCUGAGGGUAUCUAAGCAUGCGCCUCGGCGCGUAAGGCCCAUUUACGACGUUUGCCAUUCAUAGACAGAACAAAUUGCAGCAUUUGGAGGUUUCCGACAGUUACCGGUGGUUUCACGAGGUUUCGAAGGAAGGUCAAAAAUCGGAUACUGCUUCGGAAACGCAGUCUAGGUUUCGGCCCGAGCACUGGUAAGCCUGGGGUCGCCUACGCAAUUGCUGUUUUCUCUCGCAGAUGGGUUUCAUAACCCUUAUUUUUCCUUUUUUGUUACUUUCUUUGUUUUUUGCAACGCUAAAACUCCCGGUCCAUG
rnacentral:lncRNA from 1 species